GCACCUAUAGCUCAGUUGGUAGAGCGCAUGACUAGUACUUAUAUAAGGCUUAUCAUGAGGUCCUCGGUUCAAGUCCGAGUAGGUGCA
rnacentral:tRNA from 1 species